rnacentral:rRNA from 2 species
CAGCCGCCGCGGUAAAACCAGCACCUCAAGUGGUCAGGAUGAUUAUUGGGCCUAAAGCAUCCGUAGCCGGCUCUGUAAGUUUUCGGUUAAAUCUGUACGCUUAACGUACAGGCUGCCGGGAAUACUGCAAAGCUAGGGAGUGGGAGAAGUAGACGGUACUCGGUAGGAAGUGGUAAAAUGCUUUGAUCUAUCGAUGACCACCUGUGGCGAAGGCGGUCUACUAGAACACGUCCGACGGUGAGGGAUGAAAGCUGGGGGAGCAAACCGGAUUAGAUACCCGGGUAGCCCCAGCUGUAAACUAUGCAAACUCAGUGAUGCAUUGGCUUGUGGCCAAUGCAGUGCUGCAGGGAAGCCGUUAAGUUUACCGCCUGGGAAGUACGUACGCAAGUAUGAAACUUAAAGGAAUUGGCGGGGGAGCAC